UACAGAGGGUGCAAGCGUUAAUCGGAAUUACUGGGCGUAAAGCGUGCGUAGACGGUCAUGUAAGUCGGGGUGUGAAAGCCCCCGGGCUCAACCUGGGAAUUGCAUUCGAGACUGCAUGGGCUAGGGAUGCGGAAGAGGGAAGCGGGAAUUUCCGGUGUAGCGGUGAAAUGCGUAGAUAUCAGGAGGGAACACCCAAUGGGCCGAAAGGCAGCUCGCUGGGGACGGUAACUGACGCUGG
rnacentral:rRNA from 1 species